GGCUUGAUGGUCUAGAGGUAUGAUUCCUGCUUUGGGUGUGUAAUUAUCUAUGAAAAUUGCAGGAGGCCCCGGGUUCAAUCCCCGGUCAAGCCC